rnacentral:rRNA from 1 species
CAGUCGCCGCGGGAAUACGAAGGGGGCUAGCGUUGUUCGGAAUUACUGGGCGUAAAGGGCGCGUAGGCGGCCAUUCAAGUUAGAUGUGAAAGCCCUGGGCUCAACCUAGGAAUUGCAUUUGAUACUGUUUGGCUUGAGUUCGGGAGAGGUGAGUGGAAUUCCCAGUGUAGAGGUGAAAUUCGUAGAUAUUGGGAAGAACACCAGUGGCGAAGGCGGCUCACUGGACCGACACUGACGCUGAGGCGCGAAAGCGUGGGGAGCAAACAGGAUUAGAUACCCGCGUAGUCCCUGUCUCUUAUAA